UACGUAGGGUGCAAGCGUUGUCCGGAAUUAUUGGGCGUAAAGAGCUCGUAGGCGGCUUGUCACGUCGGAUGUGAAAGCCCGAGGCUUAACCUCGGGUCUGCAUUCGAUACGGGCUAGCUAGAGUGUGGUAGGGGAGAUCGGAAUUCCUGGUGUAGCGGUGAAAUGCGCAGAUAUCAGGAGGAACACCGGUGGCGAAGGCGGAUCUCUGGGCCAUUACUGACGCUGAGGAGCGAAAGCCAGGGGAGCAAACGGG
rnacentral:rRNA from 1 species